rnacentral:rRNA from 1 species
UACGUAGGCAGCAAGCGUUGUUCGGAAUUACUGGGCGUAAAGAGUGUGUAGGCGGUGCUCUAAGUUCGGUGUGAAAUCUCCCGGCUCAACUGGGAGGGUGCGCCGGAAACUGGGGUGCUGGAGCGCGGGAGAGGAAAGCGGAAUUCCUGGUGUAGCGGUGAAAUGCGUAGAUAUCAGGAGGAACAGCCGGCGGUGUAGACGGCUUUCUGGACCGUAGCUGACGCUGAGACACGAAAGACGUGGGUAGCAAACAGG